UCAGGACGAACGCUGGCGGCGUGCCUAAUACAUGCAAGUCGAGCGGACAGAUGGGAGCUUGCUCCCUGAUGUUAGCGGCGGACGGGUGAGUAACACGUGGGUAACCUGCCUGUAAGACUGGGAUAACUCCGGGAAACCGGGGCUAAUACCGGAUGGUUGUCUUGAACCGCAUGGUUCAGACAUAAAAGGUGGCUUCGGCUACCACUUACAGAUGGACCCGCGGCGCAUUAGCUAGUUGGUGAGGUAACGGCUCACCAAGGCGACGAUGCGUAGCCGACCUGAGAGGGUGAUCGGCCACACUGGGACUGAGACACGGCCCAGACUCCUACGGGAGGCAGCAGUAGGGAAUCUUCCGCAAUGGACGAAAGUCUGACGGAGCAACGCCGCGUGAGUGAUGAAGUUUUCGGAUCGUAAAGCUCUGUUGUUAGGGAAGAACAAGUGCCGUUCAAAUAGGGCGGCACCUUGACGGUACCUAACCAGAAAGCCACGGCUAACUACGUGCCAGCAGCCGCGGUAAUACG
rnacentral:rRNA from 1 species